rnacentral:tRNA from 1 species
GGUUGGUUAGCACAACAGGCAGUGCGCUCGGCUGAAGCCCGAACGGACGGGGUUCGAGUCCUCGACCAACCA